GACGAACGCUGGCGGCGUGCCUAAUACAUGCAAGUCGAGCGAAGCGGCGAAUGGGUGAGUAACGCGUGGGUAACCUGCACUUAAGUCUGGGAUACCAUUUGGAAACAGAUGCAAAUACAGGAUACUAAAAUAUGGAACUGCGAUGCAUUAGCUAGUUGGUAAGGUAAAGGCUUACCAAGGCUAUGAUGCGUAGCCGGGUGGAUGGACUGAUCGGCCACAUGGGGACUGAGACACGGCCCAAUCUCCGACGGGAGGCAGCAGUAGGGAAUCGUCCACAAUGGGCGAAAGUCUGAUGUAGCAACGCCGCGUGAGUGAAGAAGGUUUUAGGAUCGUAAAGCUCUUUUGUUGGGGAAGCGGUAAUCAACCAGAAAGUCACGGCUAACUACGUGCCAGCAGCCGCGGUAAUAC
rnacentral:rRNA from 1 species